rnacentral:lncRNA from 1 species
GCUGAAGGAGGGCAGAUUGAGGUUGGAUGUGAGGGGGAAGUUGUUGACAGAGAGAGUGGGGAGGUGCUGGAACAGCUGCCCAGAGAGGCUGUGGAUGCCCCGUCCAUCCGUGGAGGUGUUGAAGGCCAGGUUGGAUGGGGCCCUGGGCAGCCUGGGCUGGUAUUGAGUGUGGAGUUUGGUGGCCCUGUGUGUGUGGGGGGGGUUGGAGCUUCAUGAUCCUUGAGGUCCCUUCCAACCCAG